rnacentral:lncRNA from 1 species
GAUUGAAUUACUUUGGUGGGUCUUCAUUUGCAGAAUAGUUGAGUCGGUCCAGACAAACAUGCAAUACCAUACCCAAUAUUAAACCAACAAACCCCAAGUUCAAUCUUUCCACUAAUAUUAUAUCAAACCAUUUAGGAUCAGAUUCACGGUACCAAUAAAUAGGCACGACCAAAGCAAGAUCAGACUUAAUAGAAAGCAUUCAAAAUCAAGUUAAAGUAUCGUAGAAUAACGAAUACAAAAUGAAACGCAGGCAACGAACUGUAUAUCUUCACAUAACCAUUAACACCAUACCAUCCUAACAAAACAUCAAGAAAGAUGAGAGACAGAACCAGGAUGGGCGAUGUAGUGAUAGAGUUAAGCUGGGACUUGAACCACGGACAGAGACCGUCGACCAAGCUCGCUGACCGGAAACACUCGAACAUCAACUUUAACUGGCUCUAUCCCAGCAGUGAAACUCAGACCCGAUUGGACUCCAUGAUUUCGAAAUUGAAAAUUAGAAAAGAAAAAAUAAAAUUGUCGAGACUACACAUAACUAUAACGUCAACAUCAAUAGCUAACUACAUAAGCUACUGCCACUUGGAGAUGAAAGGACUCCAUUCUCGACUCACAAUUACCGUCCCUUAGAGUAUUCCAGAUGCCUCUUUUUGGUCUGGUGCGUACGGUUGUGGGGAGAGAAAGAUGGAUGGAGUUGAAAGGUGAUGUUUCGAUUCUGGUGAGUUGUUGUUGCUGGUCUUCGGUAAUGGCUGCUUCUUGUGUUGGUCCUUUGGAGAAGAAGACGAUGUGGGGUGGGGGGGUUGCUGAUUUUGGUUGUCAGCGACGGUUCUUUUGUUUGCUGCUUCUUCUGGUUUUGUGAAAAUGAUGACAGGGGAUUGGCAGGGUCCUUUUUGGAGUUCAGCGGCGGUUGAUUUUUUGUAUCCCCUCUCUUGUAUCAGGCGUAUUAUGUCCUCCUAUUCAAGACAUAGGCAUUAGGGUAUUUUAGGUGGGGAGAUAGGGUUUUUGGGUGUUGGGUCUAGUUGGGUUGGCCCGGUUUGGGGUUGGGUAAGGGCUAUUUGGGUUUAUAUUUGGGCUCAACCUUAAUUUUGCUCAAAUUGAAUUUAAUAUCAAGCCUUUU